rfam:Triticum urartu cultivar G1812 contig1144350, whole genome shotgun sequence.
CAUGUACUCCCUCCGUUCGGAAUUACUUAUCAUGAAAAUGAAUGUAUCUAAAUGUAUUUUAGUUUUAGAUAUAUCCAUUUUCGAGACAAGUAAUUUCGAACGAAGGGAGUAAAAC